rnacentral:rRNA from 1 species
UACGUAGGGUGCAAGCGUUGUCCGGAAUUAUUGGGCGUAAAGAGCUUGUAGGCGGUUUGUCGCGUCUGCUGUGAAAUUUCGGGGCUCAACCCCAAGCUUGCGGUCGAUACGGGCAGGCUGGAGUUCGGUAGGGGAGACUGGAAUUCCUGGUGUAGCGGUGAAAUGCGCAGAUAUCAGGAGGAACACCGGUGGCGAAGGCGGGUCUCUGGGCCGAUACUGACGCUGAGGAGCGAAAGCGUGGGGAGCAAACAGG